UACGUAGGGGGCAAGCGUUGUCCGGAUUUACUGGGCGUAAAGAGCGUGUAGGCGGCCAAACAGGUCCGUUGUGAAAACUGGAGGCUCAACCUCCAGACGUCGACGGAAACCGUGUGGCUAGAGUCCCGGAGAGGAGAGUGGAAUUCCUGGUGUAGCGGUGAAAUGCGUAGAUAUCAGGAGGAACACCGGUGGCGAAGGCGGUUCUCUGGGACGGUACUGACGCUGAGACGCGAAAGCGUGGGGAGCGAACAGG
rnacentral:rRNA from 1 species